rnacentral:tRNA from 1 species
GCGAAUGUGGCGGAAUUGGUAGACGCGCUGGAUUUAGGUUCCAGUAGGGCAACCUGUGAGAGUUCAAGUCUCUCCAUUCGCACCA